AGCAGCCGCGGUAAUUCCAGCUCCAAUAGCGUAUAUUAAAGUUGUUGCAGUUAAAAAGCUCGUAGUUGAAUUUCGGGGUCAGCAGGUUGGUCGUGCCACUGGUAUGUACUGGUCUCGCUGAUUCCUCCCUCUUGUAGAACCGUAAUGCCAUUAAGUUGGUGUUGCGGGGAAACAGGACUGUUACUUUGAAAAAUUAGAGUGUUUAAAGCAGGCUAACGCUUGAAUACAUUAGCAUGGAAUAAUGAAAUAGGACGAUCGAUCCUAUUUUGUUGGUUUCUAGGGUUGACGUAAUGAUUAAUAGGGAUAGUUGGGGGCAUUAGUAUUCAAUUGUCAGAGGUGAAAUUCUUGGAUUUAUUGAAGACUAACUACUGCGAAAGCAUUUGCCAAGGAUGUUUU
rnacentral:rRNA from 1 species